rnacentral:rRNA from 1 species
CAGUAGCCGCGGGAAUACGAAGGGGGCUAGCGUAGUUCGGAAUUACUGGGCGUAAAGCGCACGUAGGCGGAUAUUUAAGUCAGGGGUGAAAUCCCAGAGCUCAACUCUGGAACUGCCUUUGAUACUGGGUAUCUUGAGUAUGGAAGAGGUGAGUGGAAUUCCGAGUGUAGAGGUGAAAUUCGUAGAUAUUCGGAGGAACACCAGUGGCGAAGGCGGCUCACUGGUCCAUUACUGACGCUGAGGUGCGAAAGCGUGGGGAGCAAACAGGAUUAGAUACCCGCGUAGUCCCUGUCUCUUAUAC